rnacentral:misc_RNA from 1 species
GGAUACGCUGCAUGCAUGCUCCAGCAAGGAUUUGGCUCAAAGACGCAAGUACGUGUGGAAGUGGAGCAAGAGGAACCUUCUUUAUUAAAGGAGAAGCCGACCCCAGUUGUUGAAACUGUGAAAGAUGAACAAGAAGCAGGUUGGCCAUCAUUUGGACAGCUACUCUGGGAUUUGGCCAAGCUUGCAAUAGAGGGUCUGGGUUCCCUUUUUGGCUAUGCCGUUCCUCUGCGGUAUAGACCCAAGAGCUUCAUUAGACCCGGACUAACUCCAUUGAAAGAUUCACUGAUCAUGCCUGAAGAUGAAGUUGAGCCCCCAUUAGUUCAAAAGCAGAGGGCUCCACCACCCGCUUCCGAGAUCAGACAUGUCCCAGCUGUCGGUGAUAAAGUAGUACCCGAGGGCAAGCCCACCAAGAUUAGAUCGAGUAGCUCAAAAGACCCUAACUUGUCAACGAAGCACAGGUCUUCCAGACGACAUG